GGGGCUGUGGCUCAGGGGUAGAGCCUCUGCUUGCCAUGCAGAAGGUCUCGGGUUCAAUUCCCGCUAUCUCCA